rnacentral:misc_RNA from 1 species
GCCCCAUCUGCUGCCUAAGGCUAUAUCAGUAGUAGCAGUAAUUUGUAUAGGGAUGGAUCCAUAUAAGGCUUUGUUUAGGUGAAACAUUUAUAUUUUUUGCGAACCCCCAUGUAUUAAAUUGGGGUAGUUUUCUUCUGUGAGGACAUUUUAUCCCUCCUUUGUAUUGUUGGUUUCUGACUGUUUUUCAAUUAAUAUAAGAUAUAAACAGAGUGUUUUUACUGUAAAA